rnacentral:lncRNA from 10 species
AUAGAUUAUAACCUUUUUAGGAGCAGCACACAUUGUACUUACUAUAUCUUUUUAUCCAUUGUAAUGCUUUGUAACAUGCUAAGCAUGUUGGUGACAAUUUAUAUAUGCAUUUCAUACUAGGUAAAAAUUAAGGCUUUACCUGCAUGGGAAUAACUUGCUUAGGAAAUGGCAGGGAGGCUACAUUGGUAUGGAGUAGUUGUGAUGUUUAUCAUGUUCACAUCCCUGUUUCGGAUGUCAAGAGUCCUGGGUUUGAAUUCUGGUUCUGUUGUGAAUCUGUCUUUCCUGAAGUGACUUAUACAGGACUUGUGUCUCUGGAUUCUUGUUACAACUCUGUAUGAUAGAUCUUAUCAUCUCCAUUUUACUGAUGAGGAGACUAAAGCUCAUGGAAGUAGCCUGAGCAGUGGAACUGAGAUUUGAACCUAGACCUGCCUGAUUUCUAACUCCCGUACUAUGUUCUUGAAACUAUGGUCUUUCUGACUUAAAGUACAUAUGGAGGAGAGAAGUAAGGCCAAGAAGUUGGACAGUUGAUGCAACUACCAGUAUGAUGGUCUUUCUGACUUAAAGUACAUAUGGAGGAGAGAAGUAAGGCCAAGAAGUUGGACAGUUGAUGCAACUACCAGUAUGAUGGUCUUUCUGACUUAAAGUACAUAUGGAGGAGAGAAGUAAGGCCAAGAAGUUGGACAGUUGAUGCAACUACCAGUAUGAUGGUCUUUCUGACUUAAAGUACAUAUGGAGGAGAGAAGUAAGGCCAAGAAGUUGGACAGUUGAUGCAACUACCAGUAUGAUGGUCUUUCUGAUUUAAAGUACAUAUGGAGGAGAGAAGUAAGGCCAAGAAGUUGGACAGUUGAUGCAACUACCAGUAUGAACAGUGAACAAGAUUAAUAAUAAAUGGCUCCAAUGUGUAUACCUAGUACACAUUGCCUCAAACAACAGGCUUGUGUCUGACCUUUCCACAUUGACCAUUUAUUUUGGUCCUAAGGCAGCCUGGGAGGUAAAUGGGCAAAGCUUAUUCUUGCCACUUUACAAGUCAAGAAACUAAGAUUCAGAAAGGUAAGUGAUUUACACAAUGUCACAAAACUAGUAAGUGGCAGGUGGUUACUGGAGGAGAGGGAUGGAAGGGGGAUUUGAAAACAGGUCUCACUCUUCAAGUAAAGGAUAUCCCUCUUGUGCUCUUACCUUUUGGAGGAGAGAUAAGUUGACAAAAGAUAUCUGUGGACAAAUACAUUUUAAAUAAUAUGUUUAACCAUUACUACUUCACAUGAAGUUGUCAAAAUGGUUUCAAAAAUCAACUCAUUUAAAAAGGUACCUGUUGAUGUGCCAGGCCCUGGGCCUGUUGGCCCCGCAUUCCCAGCAGACUUGACGGAAUGAACCUUCCCCAUGAGUGAUGCUGUGCCAUCACAUGUUCUUCUUGUGAACCACCCAAAAGGGUUUAGUUCAUUUAUUCUCUCAAGAAUUUUAUUUACUUUCUUUAUUCUCUCAAGCUAUAGGCCUGAGUCAUUUCAUUAAAUAAGUGUUCUGCUUUGGCCUUCUUCCAGCUGGCAUGAUACUAGACUGGCGUGAAGCAGGGAAGUGGAAUCAUCUUAAAUUUAGCAUCAUGAAAAUCUGUUCCUCGUGAACUCGUGGGGGCUACUCAGCAUCCUCAAGACAGGGUAGUCACCUACACAGCCACUGGGCCCAGGAGGGAGACCUUCUCUCAAGGAUUAGAAAGGGCAGCGUGGUUUUUCUUUACUUAUACUCUGCCUGGUUGAAAAGCAUGGCUAGCCUCUUCUGUUUAGAAAACAAUAGAGAAGUCAGUGGGUGAACACAAGGAGGAAUUGUAGAGAACAGAGGAAAUGGGAGCAAUAAAUUUACAUGUAUUUUCACAGAAUCCUGCGGCCACCCUGUAAGGAAAGAACACUUGUUGUUCCCAGUUUAUUGUUUAUCCUGUAAGGAAAGAACACUUAGUGUCCCCAGUUUAUUGUCCCUCGGGGGACCAACUCAUGCUAAUUUGUCUGGGAAUUUUCCAGACUUACCACUCAAAGUCCUACUCCUGGGAAAUCUCUCAGUACUAGACAAGCAGGAAUAAUGGGUCACAUACCGUGGAUCUGAGAUUCUACCUCUACUACAAAGACUGUGUUUUCAAACUUUGCACUCUCCUGCGUCUCAUCCAUGACGUCCUCUGAUUGUCCAACCACUUUGCAAUUUGGGGAUUGUUAUACCUGAUUUACUAAUGGGAAAAGGAGGCUCAGAGAAGCCAAUGGCUGGUCCACGGUCCAGGGCCUAAGCACUAACAAUUCAGCUCUGAAAUCUAGCUCUCAUGGGCUCUGAGGCCCCUCUGUGCAACUCUCCUGAAACCGACUGAGAGGUCAAGACUGACAGGUGUGAAGAAGAGGCAGCGGCUUAUCUGGGGACUCCACCAUCCGCUCUCAAGCUCCCCAGGUGUAAUUCUCUUUCAGGACUUUAGCUUUUUAUUCCUAUAGGUGUUUAUAGCUUUCUGACAGUGGACAUGAUGCAGAGUCACAGGGGAGAAGCAUAGUUCAGGGCACAGGUGGGGACUGCUGGGGUCCAGGGAGUGCUGAAAGGAGCCACCCGAAGUGUGGUCAUUAUCAUCUGCUUCCCGGCAGACAGGCUGGAUGUGGGAUCCAGACCUUGUGAGGGCCGGCCCGCUCAGAGGGCCAGAGGACAGCAAGGAGGGGCCAGAGGGGCAGGGCUGGACCUUUUUUUCAGACAGGAGGUGAUCUGUUGAAGAAAAUAGCCUUCAUGUGAGUCUGAUUUGACCCGACAGCCCAGACCAGCUUCAGGAGCUGAACACGCUGGGAGGGAGUGUUUUCUGUCCUUAGAACGUCCUUCCCUUGCGUGUCUGAUCUGCUUUUUCCUCCCAAGUCAUUUUAAACAUAUCACAUGGGAAAGAGGUUACACAUGCCCUGUAUUUACUCAUCCUCUCAUCCAACAUUUACCGAGUGCCCACUGUGUAGCAGGGCACUGUGUGAAGUGCUGGGAGUUGGAAAUGAAGAAAGCAUGGCUUUCUCCCUUACAAAGUGACAACGUACUGAGAAAACAGAUAUGGAAGCAACUAAUAAUGCAGUGUAUAAGGAGAAUGGGCUUGAAAGUUUCUCAUAUCUGAGUUCCCAUCCUGGCUCUGUGACCUUGCCAAGUUACUCAAAACUGUCUCUGAGCCUCAGGCUUCUCAUCUGUAAAAUGGGGCUAAUAAUGCUGCCUCACAAUUACUGUGAGUGUUCAGUGCAAUGAUACCUGCCUUGUGCUAGGUCCAAUGCCUGUUGCAUGGUAACUACUCAAUUAACAAGAGUCAUUUUUCCAGUUCUACCAGUAGCCAGUUCUAGAUACUUGGGUAAGUCAGUUAAUUUCUCUAUGUAUCCGUCUCUCUUCUGUAAAUUGGGAAUAAUAAUAGUAACCACCUAGGAAUGUUGAGAAAAUUAAAUGAAGUAAUACCUGUAAAGCACUUCAAGCAAUGUCUGGCAUAUAGUAUGUAUCAAAUAUAUAAUAGUUAUUAUCACCAAUACCAAUGGUAAUACAAGCUACAGCUGAUGAAAGCAAAAAGAGACAUUCUAGGAGCAAAUUAUAAGAAAAAGAGUUGGAGGCAUUGCAGGGUGAGGGUGGUGUGUGUAUGAUAUGGGGGUGUGAAGAAGCCCAGCAUCCGAAGGACAGGCUUCAAUGGGGAGAUUAGGGUCACACAUGGGCAGAGGGUGAGUGGGCUUUAGAAUGAGCCAGAAUUCAGGUUCUGCCACUUACUAGGUGUGUGACCUUUUGAAAGUGACUUAACUUCACCAAGCUUCCUCCUCAGUCACAUAUUGCUAGCAUUUUGUACUUUUUAAUGUCAGUCUAAGAAUAAAAUGACAUAACUUCUGCAAUUGUUCAGCCAGUGUCUGACUCAAAGGAGGCCUUCAAUAGGAGGUAGCUAAUUAUUAUGAUUUUUUAGUAGAGGAUAGGAUGAAGGGUGGGAGGAAGCCAAAGGAGAGCGACUACGCUGUGGAGGAAAACUGAUGAGGCUGGGAGGUGCGGUCUCUGACAAUUUAAAAUAUGGAGAUGUUGAAUGUGGAAGCAGUUGGAAAGCUCAGUACUGUGACUCCUCGAGGCUCUUUCUUGAUGCUGUACCAUCUCUACCUCUCUCUGAGCCUCAGCUUCUGAGUCCUACAUCCUUCAGUUUUGUCAGGUUCUAAAUUUACCCUCAUCGUAAUUAUUCACACUAUGUCUCAUCAGCUUGUGAGCAGAAGAACUAGUGGAGGCCAAAACUGCUGGAGAGGAAGGAAAGAAAAGAAAAGAAAAGAAAGACAACUUCAAGCAGUAGAGCUGCCCAGUGUUGACUGCAAGUUGCGGGUAUUGGCCAGUACCCCUGAAAUAACUCCUGGGGCAGAGUUGGCUCAUGUGUCUUUGAACGUUAAAAUUAGAGCGAACCAAGAUUAAAUGCUCCCGAGAAACUGACCAGCCUGACAUUUUUCUCCUCCCUCUCUUUUUAUAACUAUGACCACAGUAGUAAUUCAAUUGGAAACAUAUUCUGUCCCUGAUUGCUCCAACACUGGCACUAGAUCAUUCCCAGGGCUCGAUUUUUUUUUUUCCUUAUUAAAUGCACACACUGCUGUUAUUUUCUGCCAGGGCUAAAAAUACAUCUGACCGAGCAGCAAAGGCUCAGCCAGGGCCUCCUCCCUGUUCUCUUAGAGGGCAGGACCAGGCAGAACGAGCAGACUGAUGGUCCUUCCAAUUAAUUUAGACAGCAUGUUGUUUCCAAGGAAAACUGCCCCAGAUACUGAUAUAAUGGUAAAAAUAAAAACGGAGUUCCAGCCUGAAAGGAUGAAUAACGAGAGCCUAUAUAUCCAACCCCAUUUACUACCAGUCUUUUUUCACUUCUGGCUACCACACUUCAUCAUUUCAAAGCACUUCAUGUAUUUUCAAGGCCUCUAGUCUUUGCAGAUGCUGUUCCCUGGUCAGAAAUUCUUUUCCUCCCUCUCCUGUGGAUUUGUGAUUGUGUCUUAGUUUCAGCUCAAGCACAGUCUUAUUUUCAGAGCCUAUGAGCUGAUGCUCUGUCUCUCAUACCUUCACAUUUCUCCUGCCUUCUCUUGUCUGAAUGCAUCAUCUGCAUCAUAAUCACCAGCUGCAGGUCUGUCCACCCAAAAAUCUUGAAGUUCUUGAGGGCAGGGACAAUGUCUUACUGACUAUUAUAUUUCAAGUACCUAGCACAGUGCUGGGCCCAACAGGACUGGCACUAGGGUGGGGCAAGCGAGGUAUUUAAGGACCCAAAAUGUAAGAAGGUGCCACUCUCAGGUGCUGACUCUGUGCUUGUACCAUCCUGAGAAUGAGUGCUUUCUUAGAGCUCCCAUCCGAGACUCCUAGCUUGUCUUAUCCCAGUCCUGGCCUUGGAGCAUGAAAUAUCAAUCAAUAAAUGAUUCUUAAUUGAAGGCUUGUCAACCAUCUUUUCCUUUUGGAAAUUGUCCCCUCAAUUGGCAUUUAGGAUGGUUCUGGUUACCUUUGCACCUCUCUAACAGGGACUUCUCUGCAAUCAUUUUGGAUUCAUCUUCUUCCACCUGCCCCUAAAACAUUGCUGAUGAGAUGCUGCUCCUCUGUGCUCCCACGGUCAUGUCAACAUACCACCCAUGUGUCCAUUCAGUCACUCGUUAUUAAAGCAAACACUGUUUGUGGAGUGCUUACCAGGUGCCAAGCCCUGUUCUGGGUGUUUCAAGAGAGCCUAGAGAAACAAGAGAAUAUAAGUUCUUCUGUUUUCAGGGAACUUACAUUCUAUGAUACGCACAGAGACAAGAAUACAAAUAUAUCAAAUACAACGUUAUUUGUCACAUUGGUCUAUCAUUCAUUAUUGAGGUCUAAGACCUUGCUUUAUUCAUCUUUGUAUGCUCAGCAUACCAUGGUGCCUAGUAACAGAUCAUGUAUAAAAUACAAGAAUAAAUGAUUGAUCACUUAAAUAAAUGAAUGAAAAUGUAGCUUAAGUAUCAACUUUUCUAUAAAAUAUGUUCUAAAUUUCUCAGGCAAAAUCUGGUUAACUCAUUCAUUCACUCACUCAUUCAUUCAUUUAACAAAUAUUGAUCGAGUGUCUCCUCUGUGCCUGGAAUGGUUUGAGACAUCUUAUAAAUUUCUGCCAUGGUGCCUACCAUAGUUUAGUACUAUUUUUUGUUGAUUUCCUGUCUCUAGCACUCCACAAGGGCAGAAGGCUUGUCUAAUUCAUCUCUGGAUCUCUCAACCUAAUACAGCAACUAGCAUAUUGUAGGCAUUCAAAGUAAAACUUACUUGAAAGAGAUAUUUCAACAAUUAACAAAGAAAUGAAAUUACCACACUAUGCCAUGGCAGCUAAGUGCCCUCUACUUCUCUGAAAAUACCUGGGUUGUUUAUUUAUCUUAAUGUGCAAUGAAAUGCAGAGGAUACCCAGGUUGUGAAAAGAUCUUCAUCCUCAUUCUGAAAUCCUUCCUGCAACUUUCUACAUUCCGUGACUCUGGAAUGUAAUUCAUUUUUCUCAAAUUGUAAGGAUUUUGGAAGAAAAUUUAGUAAAAGGCAAGAAGAUUCUAUGCAGCCUUGUCAAUUUGCAAUGUCCUCAAUAUAAUAACUCAAUGAGAGCUUCUCUCUGAGGUCAAAAAAAAAUGUUUUCAAAUGGACUGUUACAAACCCUUUGACUAGAUUUCUUACCUAUUCAUGGUCAAGACUUAGGUACUAGUCUUAGAACUGCCCACAACUCAUUGAUGAUCUUGGACAAAUCACUCUCCUUCCUUGGACUUCACUUUUUCUUUCUGGAAAAGGAAAUUGGGCUGAAAUGUACACAUUUCCUGCAAUUCUGAUCCUUGGAGGAGUCUGUGAGUCUGCUCCAGAGAAGAGGCUGGUUCAUAAGGAUUCUUGUCUUUCCUCCCAGUAGGUUGAUAGGCACAAAAAUGACAUUCAGAGGGGGUACUUCUUGCUGUCCUAAGAUGGCCAUUUCAUGGACAUUUAUUGAGAAUUAACUGUGUUCCAAGAUCUACUAAAAAGGGAUGUUUUUGUAAAAGGCUGUAUUUUUACCUAAUAAAGCUGUUGUUGAAAUAUUUCAACCUCUUAACUAAUUCCUGGGAAUAUACUAUAAUUCAGGGGGUGUCAAGUGGGCAAGAAGACAGGGCAGUGAGCUUCAAUUGGGGGCUCACAUCCUAAUUGAGGAUAAAACGGAGCACAGAGCAAGAACUCAAUAAAAGCUCCAAAGAAACUCUAUUACAUAAAUCUUCAUUCUGAAGAAUACCCAAAAUGUAUUAUUUAGGGGUCAGGAGAGGGAAAAAUAAAACUUCUAAGAACUUAAGUGAUUAGGAGAAGGAUUCAUGACAAGGUGGAACUGGAAUUGGACCUUGUGUGAUGGGUGACAAGGUAAGUGGGGAGGAGGGGAAACACCUCUGAGAGUGAGCAGGAACUAAGGGAACCUUCUUUCCAGCCUGUGCAGUGGUUUAUUUGUUUAAUAAGCCAAUGAUAAGCACAGACCUUCUCUGAAUUCUUGGGUCGAUGUGAAUCUGGGAUUUGGGUCUACUAUCCAGGAUUGCCCAGAGCAGAGCCCAUGUCUCAUUGCUACAAUGAUGUGGUCUUAUGUGUGGUAUCCAUCAAUAUCCUGUGUGGGCAGGUGACUUUAAGAACUUUCUCUACCUUCUGUCUGCCUAUGAGUGAGUUGUACUGAAGGGGAGUCUCUUGUAGGAGAAGAAAGGAAACGCCUCUUUUUUCUAUGAGACUAGGAAGAGACUCAACAUUCAUGGCCCUGUUGGACCUUACAGUUAAGCCUACUUCUGCUCUUUGAGUCCUUAGUUCUCAAACGUGUGGGAGAUUCUGGAGGAUGAAAGAACACUACCUGCCCAACUGGAAGCUAAUUAGCUGAGAAGUCUUAGAGCUCCCAAGGAGUGAGGCUGCUCCAAAGUUGGCUGCUGCAACCAAGUUCCUUUGGCCUCUAGAAAGGAGAAUUUGAUGAUUCCUACUUCUAAGUGGACCACAGCUUGGUGUGGAAUUGACUUGUCAACACAUAACACAAUGUCUUAAGUGCCAGAAUGGAAGGCUCAUAUGAAAAGUGAUUUUGGAAUCCAAGGGCCAGUCAAGAUGUUCUUACCAAGUGGACCUUUAAGCUGAGUUUUGAGGUAGAAGGUGACACAUGGGCAAGGGGUGGAGUAGGACUUUCAAGGCAGAUAGAACAACAUAGAAGGCAUGGGAAUGGUAAAAAACUGUGAUGUGUGUGUCUUUGGCUGGUGCUGGUGGCAAAACUAUAGAUACUUUGAGCUAACUGUAGUGCUCAGUGCUGAUGACAGGAUAUUGGAGCAUUCAUAACAUGGCAGCUUAUUCAUGAAAUAAUUCUUAUUUUUUUAUGAGAAGUGGCAAAGUCAUGAGUCCACACGUACCUUCUAACCCCCAAACCAGACCAACUCCUUGAAUAUUAUUUUGGAGCAGUGUUUGAUGAUCAAGAGGCAUGAGCCUAUGAUCUAUAUUUAGUCAUGUGCUUGACAAUAUGGGGCCACCCUGUAAGAGCAGAGUUUCUGUGUCAGCUGGGGAAGUACUGAUGUCAGGAUGAGAUCCUCUGAUGAUGUUGUCCCCAGCUUGGAAAUUACUGGUAACAAAAAAUGUUAGUCUUUUAUAUUGUUUUUUCACUGAUUCUGGUUGGCUGAUUACAAGGUACAGGGAAAGCAUUGUGAGCUAAAAAAGCACCAGUUUAAAUAUUUGCAUGUGGGUUGCUGUAUAAGAUUUUCUAUAUUUAAUGCAAAAAUUGAAUGAAGUCAUUCUAAUGGGUAUCUGACUCAUUUGGAAAGUGAACACUAUAGAUUUGCCACAUGCCAGUAAACACCCAUGCAUUUCUAUACCUCUUUAAGUAGAUGCUUCAAUACUUGCUCUCAUAUUAGUAUUAUUGCCUAGUUGGCACACUUUAGUGGGAGUGGAAAAAACCAUUUCAUGGGUGUGAGUGGACACCAACCUGGGAGUGAGAAAAUCUACAUUCCAGAUCUGGCUGUCUUAUUGGGUGCUUGGCUGUGUGACUUUAGGCAAGUCCCUACAGGUGGACAUUGAGAAGGAGCUGACAUUGCCUUUUUCUAACUUGGAUGGCACUAAAUGGAAAUUGAGUUAGGACAGAGAAAAGCAGGCUAGACACAAACAGGCCUUAAGUAUCACAGAAAAUUAAAUCCCUGCAGAAUAUAAUCAUGGGGACUCAAAUGCAACAAAAAUAUUAACUCUGAUUUACAACAUUCCCUAAAAAUUUGUUUCAUAAUAUUAAUAUUACAAGAAGACUGAGGAAUUAGUGUCUUUAAAGCUGGUUCAUUCAUUCAUGGUCUUCUUAAAGAGGACCUAUUGAGUGGAUGAACUGUUAAUUGCAAUUUCAAGUCGAGUGUUAAUAGGUGGUAUGUUUUGACCAUUUACUGUGGAUCAGCGCUGUUGUAAAUAGUUAACAAUCAUUAUCUAAUUUAAUCUUCACCACCAACCUUAUGAGGUAGUGCUAUUAAUAUCCCCAUUUUGCAAUGGAGGAAAUUGAGGUUUGCCAAGGUUAAGCAACUUGCCCCAAUCUGAUGGCUGUUAAGCAGCAGAAACUAAAAUAUUGGUCUAUCUCAUGCCAUAAUUGCUUAUCUGUUAUUGCCUGUUCAAUUCUUCACAUUUACAGAACCCUGAAGCAUUGGUUUGCAUCUAUAUUUCCAAGGACUUGAGAUUUGAGAAGGGUCUUUUCAUUCAAUAUCCAUCUAAUCCACAUUUUCUUUUUCCUUGUAAUCCAUGACGAGACAGACUUAUGCCUAAAAAGAACAUCCGUCUAUCAUUCCUUAGGUCAAAAACUUCCUUCCUUGGUGUCCUUUUAUCUUUAAGAUAAAAUUCUGGCUUUAUAACAUGGCAUUUAAUGACCCUUUAGGCCUUUUCCAAUGUAACUGUCUGGUGUGAAUGCUGUAUCCCAACCCAACUCCCCUCAGAUCAGAGAGGUCUAGUCAUUGUACAUCCUUGAAACACUCCUCUUCUCCUGCCACCCUACUGACUUAGGAAAGCUCCCACUUACCCUCCUCCAGGCAUCUAUAACAUGCCUUUUGGGGGAUGACCAUUUGUAUGGUAUCUGUCAAUCCCCAGUCCUUAAUGAAGCCCUACCUUGAUGUGUCAAGACAUCCACUUAAAUCCUGCCUAUAUUUAUUCAUUUGUUCACUCAGUUACUCAUUCGUUCAACAUUUAUUGAACAUCUAUAUGUGCCAGUCUUUGUGCUAAGGAUGUCCUGUUAAAAACCAGAUAGUGCACCUGUUGUAGAUAUUUUUCUGUUUAAUUAUGAUUCAUUUGUGUAAAGGGAUAGUAAUCUUGUUGAGAGUAGAUCUUUUUCCUUUUCUUUUUCUGCAUCUUUGCGUCUUCAAUAUUGGCACAUAGCAAGUUACCAGUAAAUGUUUUUAUUUUUUAUUUUUGAUGAAUUUCUGAAUCACAUUGCUUUUUAACCUAAUUUAUUCAUAUAGUAUCUGAGGAAAUCAAAACAUUUGUGUCUUUUUGGCAAGAAUUUUAUGACUAUAAACUAAAGUAUUGGUUUAUCUCAUGCCAUAAUUGCUUAUCUGUUAUUGCCUGUUCAAUUCUUCACAUUUACAGAACCCUGAAGCAUUAGUUUGCAAUGCUAAAUAUCAUUUGUGAAAAUAUUAUCAGGGUUUCAAAAAGUAUUUUUUUGUUUUUCUUGUCUUUCUUUUUUUGCUCAUUACCUUCACCACACUGAAUGCAAAGCACCCAAAAGAUGUUAUAUGAAUGUAAUGGUUAGGAGGUUUUUUGGUGCCCUUUACUUAACUAUAGAUGAGAACAGUAAAAGCUAGUUGACUUGGUAUGAACAUUUCCUUAAGAGUCUAAGAUGUUUCUGGGUCAAAAGUUCAGAUGGAUUUUGCAGAACUUCAGAGGAAGAACUUCUUCAUUGUAGGGGUUUCAGCCUCAAAAAUGACUUGAAGUACUUUUACAUCUGGCUAAAUUCAAUUCAACCAUUUGCUGUAGCACUUACAACCCUGCACAUUGUACUUAUAACUUAGAUACUGACUUUCUGGUAAUGGUAUUACCCUAAAGCAAAAGGUCUAGAUGAAGAUGCCUGAAAGCUGCAUCUCCUAAGCAAUUUUUCUGGGAGAGAGAAGCAACACACACACACAAACACAUACACACACACACACACACUCUCACACACAGAGAGAGAGAGAGAGAGAGAGUGUUCCAGAGACAAAUAAGUUGGAAAGUACUUCUUUACUAAGUACUUAGUAAAUAUCAUCUUUUGUAUAUUUACCAAGCACAUUUGCAUACAAAAGACUCUGAGAAGUCUAUACAUAAAGAGGCCUCACUAAUUGUAUUACCCCAAAUUAUUGGACUGUACAAUUUUCCCCAUUCCUAUACUACUUGACUCUGGCUUCUUCCUGUGACUCUAUGUCUUCAUUAAUUCAUUCAGCAAAUUUGCAUUGCCCAAUACUGCUGGCCACCAAGGAGUAUAACAAAGUCCCUAUCUUCAGUAGCUCAGAGUCUACUGGGGAAGCAGAUAAGUAAACAGUGGGUAAACAGGUCUGUGAUAUGAGCUAUAAUGGAUGUAUUCAUCAGGAGCUGGAAAUCAGACAUUGUAUUCAGGAAAGUGGAAUAGAAGUAGACUUGCACCAAGUUCUUCAGAAUUGGAAAUUGACCAGGCCAAUGGUCAAGCAUAGGAGAUUCCAGGCAACAAGAAGUACAUGAAAGUCAUUAAAUAUGAAUAAGUGACAAGUCUGCCCUGAUUAAGAUACAGGGUUGAAAGAGGACACUAGAAUGUGAUGAUAUGAAUGAAGCAGCAAGACAAGAUCCUGAAGAACCCUAUUUCUCAUCUGGGUUUGUCCUUUGCUUUUUCAGAACUGAUCCUUGGGUCAGGCCUGGCAGUUCUGGUUUGGCUUUUCAUGCCCUCUUACCAGCAGCAGGGACAGGAGGCACACAAGAUGAUUCAGAAUAUGGGAAACUGGGUUCCAGAGUUGUAGGAGUUGGUCAGAAUAGGAGGCGGCUGUAGAUGCCACUGGAAAGUCCCCAAAGAAUGAGUGCUCCUGAUAACAAAUUGUUUUUCUCUCUCAAUGAUUUUUGAUAUAACCAAAUGAUUCAUGCUUUUCUACCUAUAACACCCAGUACUGCUUCAGACACGGGUAGUGCAAGUGCGCUCACCACCACUCUGCUCUCUGCUUGAAAAUUAUUGUGUAAAAUGGUUUCCCUAAUAGAAACUGUUAUUAUUGACAAGUGGUAAAAUGGUACCUCAGGUUCUUUUUCUCUCUCUAGAUCCUGGCUGCAUAAUAAUUUUCCUUUUGAUUUUUUAAAAUAUUUUUUUCUCUCAGCUAUGUAUGUAUGUAUUUGUAAGCUUAUAAGUGAGAUAAAAUAUUGUUCAUAAAUGUUGUUACAUUUUCUCAUGUCCAGCAAAAAGAAAACUCCCUAGCAAAAUGAUCUUAAAAAUGGAAAACUCUACAAGUUAUUUAUUCCCUCAUCUGUAAAACAGUAGGGCUGGGCUAGCUUGUCUCUGGGGUCCCUUCUAACAUUAAGGUAAUGUUCCUGGUUUCCAUGGGAGUUGGACAAAAUUGUGGACAGCAGCUGUGAAAGAUAAUUGCCUCAGCAAGAAAUUUGUCCCUCACAGACUCUGGGAAAUGGUGAGCAUGUAUUGUAUUUCAUGUUAUGACUGGAAGAUGUGAACAAUAAUUAUGAGAACAUCCAUAGAAUUUCCCCCGGGGUAUAAAAUACAGAUAAAAAUCUCAUAAUAUUAACCUUUGAUUGCUGAUAUUCAUGAAGACUGGAACUCUCUACGGAGCUCCCUGAGAUUGGGACUGUGCUACUUGUCAUCUGGAUCUACUUGUCUAUGAGGAUGCCCAGGCCUUGGCUGGCUUCCAACAAUCAAUUCAUUCAUCCGUCUGACAAAUAUUUACUGGGCACCAGCCUUGUAUAGGGCAUUAUUCUAGGGGCUAAGAAGAAGGAUAAAUAAGAGCUCACAGUGUAGAGGGGAACUCAGAUAUGCAGUCCAUUCAACAGACAUACAUUGGGUGCCUAGAAUGUGCAUGGCUCUUGACAAAUAGGAAUGAAAUAAAUGACAACUUAUGCAUGUGCUCAAGCUCAAACUGAUACAUGGUUACUAAUCCAUGGUGUCUAGACUCAGAAGUUUCACAGAGGAGAUAGCAUAAAACAAGAUUUUAAAGGAAGAGUUGGGGCUCACCAAGUGGCUAAGAUGAAGGCCCUUCUAUGAAGAUGGAACAGCAUCUCCCAAAGUACAGAGGCAUAAAAAACGUGGUGUGGUUGAAGUAGUUGCGAGUGGUUGUGAUGGUCGCAAUAUGGCUGAAGAUAAGACUUGGAGGCUUGAAAGAGCCUCAUAUGCCGGUUCAGGAAAUCUGGAGAGAAAUAGGGACCCACAGAAAGAUUUGGGCAGAAUGCCUCAGUUGCUCGUUUGUAACACAGAACUAAAAAAGCCAACAUUUAUAGAAGUAUUGUGAGCAUCAAUAAUAAUAAGAAUAGUUGGGGGGAGGAGCCAAGAUGGCCGAAUAGGAACAGCUCCGGUCUACAGCUCCCAGCGUGAGUGACACAGAAGAUGGGUGAUUUCUGCAUUUCCAUCUGAGAUACCGGGUUCAUCUCACUAGGGAGUGCCAGACAGUGGGCGCAGGUCAGUGGGUGCACGCACCGUGUGCCAGCUGAAGCAGGGCGAGGCAUUGCCUCACUCAGGAAGCAUAGGGGGUCAGGGAAUUCCCUUUCCUAGUCAAAGAAAGGGGUGACAGACGGCACCUGGAAGAAAGGGUCACUCCCACCCGAAUACUGCGCUUUUCCGAAGGGCUUAAAAAACGGUGCACCAGGAGAUUGUGUCUCGCACCUGGCUCGGAUGGUCCUCCGCCCACGGAGUCUCCCUGAUUGCUAGCACAGGAGUCUGAGAUCAAACUGCAAGGCGGCAGCGAGGCUGGGGGAGGGGCGCCCGCCAUUGUCCAGGCUUGCUUAGGUAAACAAAGCAGCCUGGAAGCUAGAACUGGGUGGAGCCCACCUCAGCUCAAGGAGGCCUGCCUGCCUCUGUAGGCUCCACCUCUAGGGGCAGGGCACAGACAAACAAAAAGACAGCAGUAACCUCUGCAGACUUAAGUGUCCCUGUCGGACAGCUUUGAAGAGAGCAGUGGUUCUCCCAGCAUGCAGCUGGAGAUCUGAGAACGGGCAGACUGCCUCCUCAAGUGGGUCCCUGUCCCCUGACCCCUGAGCAGCCUAACUGGGAGGCACCCCCAGGCAGGGACAGACUGACACCUCACACGGCUGGCCGGGUACUCCAACAGACCUGCAGCUGAGGGUCCUGUCUGUUAGAAGGAAAACUAACAAACAGAAAGGACAUCCACACCAAAAACCCAUCUGUAC